GGUUGGCCCGCCAGCCCGGGAGGCAAGCUUCACACUUGGAGAAAGGCGAGCCUGAAGUUCAUCAUCCUUUUCUCUGGGUCCGGCCCGAGCCCGUAGAGGAGCAGUAGGAUCCUGCCUGCAGAUGAUAUCCACUGUCGCCAAAGAGACAGCCAAAUCUUGCAGGCCCACAGCCCUUAGAACGCAGGUACUGGGUCCCUGGAUGCAAAUCUGAGGAAGAUUCAGGGAACGGCUUCCGGUAUCGUGGCUGUAAUGCUGAAACUGUCUGGGUCUGAGUUUUAAGUUGUGCUACGACCAUGAAUGGCUCUCCCAGUUUGGACAUCUUUCCUGCUGGAAUUUCCCAGUGGUUUCAGGUGAUUUGCAAGGAUGAUUGAACCCUGCAAUCUGGAAUCUACUGGGAUUUUGUGAUGGAAUACAAUCCAAGUCACUGAAGGAAAGGGACAUUCAAUCUAAAACACCAUUAGCCUUCCUGGUCAUUGAAGAAAGAUGACAUGCCAUCAUUCAGUUGGGGUCUUUCAAGAUUCUUUGUGGAAGCCCUGAAAAGCAAGUGAUCUCUGCAUCAACCCUGCUAGCGAGUGAGUGGGAAGUAUCCAACCUGGGGUUCCACCAUCCAUUCCAGGGAGAGGGUGACCUCCAUGAUCCGAAGGUGGCAAGCUUCUGAAACUUCUCU